rnacentral:lncRNA from 1 species
AAAAAACUCAAGAAAAGUGAAUUAGAGUAUUGAAAUGGAAGGAGGUCUUAUGAAAUUUUUUAUGAAGAAGAUGGUGGUGGUGGCUUUACUAGUCACCAUUGCAAUGGCUCUGUUGAAUGGGAGUCAUGCAUUUGGUCGUCCGCCGUGCUGUGAACAUGAGUUUGGAUAUGACCCUAAGUGCUGCCAUCAGGCCCUGGCAGCCGCUGCUCGCUUGGCAAAACCUUAGCUAAUUUGACUCUUUUCAUCGAUGUAGUAGCAAAUACCAAUAAAUCUAUUGAUUUAGAUCAUUCUGCAAUAAAAU